CAUUUUUUUUGACAUAACUGCUGCUGUUAAGACAGUUGAAUCUCCAUAACGAACGACAGUUGCUCCAUUUGCUUGCUUAGCUACUUGACCAAUUUCGACAAUUAAUGGUUUACCAGCAAAAGUCGUUGAAAAUGUUUGUUUUGUCAUUUUUUCAUUUGAAACAAG
rnacentral:ncRNA from 1 species